UAUAGUAGCCCUAGUGGUAGUAGUAGUAAUGAUGGUCCCUCUCCUAUAGUAGUCCUAAUGGUAGUAGUAGUAAUGAUGGUCCCUCUCCUAUAGUAGUCCUAAUGGUAGUAGUAGUAAUGAUGGGCCCUCUCCUAUAGUAGUCCUAGUGGUAGUAGUAGUAAUGGUGGUCCCUCUCCUAUAGUAGUCCUAAUGGUAGUAGUAGUAAUGAUGGUCCCUCUCCUAUAGUAGUCCUAAUGGUAGUAGUAGUAAUGAUGGUUCCUCUCCUAUAGUAGUCCUAAUGGUAGUAGUAGUAAUGAUGGUCCCUCUCCUAUAGUAGUCCUAAUGGUAGUAGUAGUAAUGAUGGUCCCUCUCCUAUAGUAGUCCUAAUGGUAGUAGAAGUAAUGAUGGUCCCUCUCCUAUAGUAGUCCUAAUGGUAGUAGUAGUAAUGAUGGUCCCUCUCCUAUAGUAGUCCUAGUGGUAGUAGUAGUAAUGAUGGUUCCUCUCCUAUAGUAGUCCUAGUGGUAGUAGUAGUAAUGAUGGUCCCUCUCCUAUAGUAGUCCUAAUGGUAGUAGUAGUAAUGAUGGUCCCUCUCCUAUAGUAGUCCUAAUGGUAGUAGUAGUAAUGAUGGUCCCUCUCCUAUAGUAGUCCUAAUGGUAAUAGUAGUAAUGAUGGUCCCUCUCCUAUAGUAGUCCUAAUGGUAGUAGUAGUAAUGAUGGUCCCUCUCCUAUAGUAGUCCUAAUGGUAGUAGUAGUAAUGAUGGUCCCUCUCCUAUAGUAGUCCUAAUGGUAGUAGUAGUAAUGAUGGUUCCUCUCCUAUAGUAGUCCUAAUGGUAGUAGUAGUAAUGAUGGUCCCUCUCCUAUAGUAGUCCUAAUGGUAGUAGUAGUAAUGAUGGUUCCUCUCCUAUAGUAGUCCUAGUGGUAGUAGUAGUAAUGAUGGUUCCUCUCCUUCCUCUAGUUUCUCUGUGGAGCGUCCAGCCCUCAGUGUGGUCAUCUACCCUCUGCUCCAUGAAGACCUUCCAUUGGUCAUCAGAGACAUGCCCCUCCCACUGCUCGAUCAGCUGACCCUCUUCCAGAGCCGCGUUGCCCAGGCCCCGCCCUCGUCACAGUUGGGACACCAGAGGGCAAAGAGGCAACUAUCCAAUCAGAGCCCAUCGUCACCGUGGUGAUGCCAGAAAGUGAAGAAGCAUCUAGCCAAUCACAGCCCCUCAGACCUCAUCACCGUGGUGAUGCCAGAGAUUGAAGAGGCAUCUAGCCAAUCACAGCCCUUCACGGGUCCCACCCAGACCCGAAGUGCAUAAAUUAUUUUGUUUAAUAUAGAGACCUGAUCCGAGGACAACUAGACCCGUUCCAUAUAGACCUGGUUGGAUCCAGACCCGAUCUGAGUGAGGGGGAGAAAAGCAGAAAAGUCAUUUUUUUAAACUACUUUAUUAAUCGGAGCUGAUGAAGUGUGAGAGGUUGGAGAGAGGUGCCUCUAGCAGGGAGAGAGAGGUGCCUCUAGCAGGGAGAGAGAGGUGCCUCUAGCAGGGAGGGAGAGAGAGAGGUGCCUCUAGCAGGGAGGGAGAGAGAGGUGCCUCUAGCAGGGAGAGAGAGAGAGAGGUGCCUCUAGCAGGGAGGGAGAGAGAGAGGUGCCUCUAGCAGGGAGAGAGAGAGAGGUGCCUCUAGCAGGGAGAGAGAGAGAGGUGCCUCUAGCAGGGAGGGAGAGAGAGGUGCCUCUAGCAGGGAGGGAGAGAGAGGUGCCUCUAGCAGGGAGGGAGAGAGAGGUGCCUCUAGCAGGGAGAGAGAGAGAGGUGCCUCUAGCAGGGAGAGAGAGAGAGGUGCCUCUAGCAGGGAGGGAGAGAGAGGUGCCUCUAGCAGGGAGGGAGAGAGAGGUGCCUCUAGCAGGGAGGGGGGGAGAGAUGCCUCUAGCAGGGAGGUUAACUAACUAAGUAACUGGUUCUAGGAUACAACCGUAAUCCUCUGGUUGAGAGAACAGGAGACCCAGAGAGACUGAAACACAGAACCAACUGGUCCUAGGAUACAACCAUAAUCCUCUGGGUGAGAGAACAGGAGACCCAGAGAGACUGAAACACAGAGCCAACUGGUCCUAGGAUACAACCAUAAUCCUCUGGGUGAGAGAACAGGAGACCCAGAGAGACUGAAACACAGAGCCAACUGGUCCUAGGAUACAACCGUAAUCCUCUGGGUGAGAGAACAGGAGACCCAGAGAGACUGAAACACAGAACCAACUGGUCCUAGGAUACAACUAUAAUCCUCUGGGUGAGAGAACAGGAGACCCAGAGAGACUGAAACACAGAACCAACUGGUCCUAGGAUACAACCAUAAUCCUCUGGGUGAGAGAACAGGAGACCCAGAGAGACUGAAACACAGAACCAACUGGUCCUAGGAUUCAACCAUAAUCCUCUGGGUGAGAGAACAGGAGACCCAGAGAGACUGAAACACAGAGCCAACUGGUCCUAGGAUACAACCGUAAUCCUCUGGGUGAGAGAACAGGAGACCCAGAGAGACUGAAACACAGAACCAACUGGUCCUAGGAUACAACCAUAAUCGUCUGGGUGAGAGAACAGGAGACCCAGAGAGACUGAAACACAGAACCAACUGGUCCUAGGAUUCAACCAUAAUCCUCUGGGUGAGAGAACAGGAGACCCAGAGAGACUGAAACACAGAGCCAACUGGUCCUAGGAUACAACCGUAAUCCUCUGGGUGAGAGAACAGGAGACCCAGAGAGACUGAAACACAGAACCAACUGGUCCUAGGAUACAACCAUAAUCCUCUGGGUGAGAGAACAGGAGACCCAGAGAGACUGAAACACAGAACCAACUGGUCCUAGGAUACAACCAUAAUCCUCUGGGUAAGAGAACAGGAGACCCAGAGAGACUGAAACACAGAACCAACUGGUCCCAGGAUACAACCAUAAUCCUCUGGGUGAAAGAACAGGAGACCCAGAGAGACUGAAACACAGAACCAACUGGUCCUAGGAUUCAACCAUAAUCCUCUGGGUGAGAGAACAGGAGACCCAGAGAGACUGAAACACAGAACCAACUGGUCCUAGGAUACAACCGUAAUCCUCUGGGUGAGAGAACAGGAGACCCAGAGAGACUGAAACACAGAACCAACUGGUCCUAGGAUACAACCGUAAUCCUCUGGGUGAGAGAACAGGAGACCCAGAGAGACUGAAACACAGAACCAACUGGUCCUAGGAUACAACCGUAAUCCUCUGGGUGAGAGAACAGGAGACCCAGAGAGACUGAAACACAGAACCAACUGGUCCCAGGUCUGUUGUCACGUCUCUGUUCCGUAUCAUCUGUAUGUUCUGUUAUGGUUACCGAUCUCAGGUUUGUGUGUUCUGUUAUGGUUACGGAUGACGGUUGUUAUGGUUACUGAUCACUUGUUUUAGUUUGCCAGUGUUUGGUGAAUGAUUACAUCUCCUGGUUAGUUUUCAGGAGCAUCUUAAGACUCAGUUCAUCGAUAAAACCUUUGUUAGGAGCAUCAUUAAAUCUCCUUAGCUGUUUUCCCAAAACCAUCAUUAUAUUAAUGUUGUCCUGGAAACGCUUGUUUUUUUUUACCAAAUUGACUACAAAUGCAAAGUUGCCAAUGUCUUUGCGAUUGUUCCAAACAUGGGAAAAGGAAAUGAAACUUCAAAUGAAAAGCGGAGAUGUGACCUCAUGACAUGAUGCCUACAGUACAGGAUCGGCCGGUAAAUUCAAUCCUAUUUGAAGUAAAUUUUUAAUGUUCAAUAAAUUCAGUUCUAUUUAGAUCA